AUCAUACUGUUGCUGUCCCAGAUCUUGCCGGUUCUUGAUGAAGCUACUGAUAAGGUGUUCUCUGUUGUACACCUACAAGUGUUGCCAUGUUCCCGUAAAAGUAUAAUAAACUUCCAUGUCAAUGAAAGUGAAAGAACAGCUUUCCACAGGUGAUCUGCCACGUGACAGUAAGAGUGUAUAAAAACAUUUUUCAUGGGUUAUCUUUUCACAUUUUCCUUCACCGCCUGCAUGGCUGCUGUCCUUCCUUUCACCCAGAAGUUCAGAGUGUUUUAGCUGCAGCUGUGAUGGCAGGACUGGGUAGGUCCAGAACCUCCAAAGGCCUCCUCCUCAUCUUGUCUCUGUAUCUGGUUCACGUCGCAAGUUCAGAGAUUGACAAGGAGAAACUUGUACACGAUGUUCUUGAGAAGCUUAAGAAAGCUCUCGUGAUAAAUAUUCAGAAAACAACAGAAGCCGUAAACAAAAUGAAGGUAGCGUACGAGAAGAGAGUGGCAGAUGCGUCAAGAGAACACGAUGAAAGAAAAAAGCAGCUUGCCACUAUUGUGGAAAUAGUGAAGGAAGCAUCAGAUGAAUUUCCACCACUGGUAAAAGUGCCAAACAUGGUGAAGCGUUUCUGCGACAUCAUGAAAGCUGAGACAGACAGGACGAUUCACGCCAUGGCCGCAGAUCUGAAGGAGAACGAAACUCAACUACAAAAGCAAAAGCAAAUAGCACAAAAAUAUGUGGAAUUAUAACUUUAGUUUCCGUCUUUAUGGCUGUAUGAUUUUAUGCUACUUUAGAUUUUAUGAAAUGACCCUGAGAUCAUGGUUUCCUCUCUGUUUCUGACACACUAUUUUUUGGCACUUUGUGUAAAACUUUACGCUAUUAGGGUUUUUACUUUUUGUAUUGGUUUAACACAUUUAAUAUCUUUGCUCAGUGAUAGUCUGCGACCCUAUGUCAAUAUUGUCAGAUGGCAUUGCAGUUCUAAAGUCAGGAUUUUAGUUGUUCCAUUACAUGACAACAGAAAAAUAUCUAAAUGAAAACAGGUCUGUUGGGAACUACAUUAUAAUCAUUACCAUGAUUACAUAUGUGCACAUAUCAAUACUAAUUUCACACUGAAUUUAUUUGGUCCACACCUGUGGCCCCAGAGGUAUCUCAUUGGGUGAUUUGAAGCAAGGGCCGGGACUGCACAGAUCAGCUAGCUCAUCUAACAUAGCUAAAUCAUGUUUCAUUCAAUCAUUGCACGAUGAAUCGAGUUCACAAAGUGGUUAGAGUGACAGUUAAGAGUUUACCUCUUAAGCAGGAAUUGGAGAUAAAAGGUUUGGGAGCACGUCAACUGGAGGAUUUCAUCAUUUCUCAGGAGGGAAAAGACAAAAUUAGGUAAUUCAACCAGGAGUGGUUUAAGCAGAAAACUCAGUUAACCAGAGAUCUUCAAAAGGGUCUAAUUUUUUUUAAUGAACUGAUUACCUAAUUUAGAUAUUGUUUGAAUUAUAAUGGGAUGAUGGAGUAAUGCGUAAUUUGCGAUACGUGUGUAGGUGUGUGUGAGGGGACACAACCUAACGGAUCUGUUUACCUGUCUGUGGAUCUGAAAUGGCUGUUUUGCUACGGUUUAUUAUGUGGUGACUUUGUGUAUAUAUGUGACUUUUGUUGAUGUUAAUGAUUUGUUAUUAUAUCUCUUUAUUUCUCUGAAACAUACAUUAACUGCUGUUUUUAAAAUAAAGGUAAAAAUAAUAGCAUGA